UAUUGCUUGUGUAAUCCAUGGCUUAUUUUUAGGCUUCUGUUUGAUCUGAGUUACCUUUAGCAGAAAAAAUUUUUCAAAAGAGGAAGCAGCUUUACUAAUGAAUGCUUUGUAUUUUCCAUUUGAGUCAGAAGUAUUGUAAACAUCUGCCCAGUUCAUAUCUGUGAACAGUUUCCUAAAAUUCUGAAUUUUUGACUGAUUACCCUCCUGUUCUCAGAUUUUAUAGAUUUUUUUUAUCCUGAGAAGUUCCAAAAUUAAACACAAGACGCUGCAUGUCAUGAUCAGAUAGCUCAUUUACUAUUGGUUUUUUGAUACAACUUUCUUUUCCUAGAUUUGUCUGCAAAGAUAUUAUCAGUAGCAGUCUCAGAGAAUUUAUAUACCUUGCUGCAAAGUUCACGGUGGGCAUUAAACUGAAUGUCAGUGUUACUAAUAGCAAUAAUUUGUUGCUACCAUUACCAGAUAAUGAUUAAAUUUUGUGGCAGAGGAUUUCAGUGUGUUAUUGCUGCAGCGAUGUGGGAAGUACUUGUCGAACACUUCUAUAGGACGCUGUGACUCGAAGAUUGGAAUUGGCUCAUAGCACAUUGACUGCUGAGACAAGCCCCACUUCCUACUCUCAGAGCAGCCAGCUUAUACCCAAUAAAAGAAAUGAACUUAUACUGGAUUAAUGUGUUGCAGAACUGAUGAAGAAAGCUGAUGGGCAGUCACUAGUAGAACCAGCCUCUUCACUUAGUUUUCUAAAUAAUACUAACAAACAAUGUGCACACUACUUACAACUAUAUUCACAGUGACUAUUUAUUGCUAUGCUGCAAAAUACUGUUACAUAGUUAAGGUUGGCUAUGAGUGGACACAUUCCAGAGUGCCACAAAGUCAGCUGAUUUUCACUGAUCACAGAGGGGCAAAGAUUUCACCUGGGUGACAUUCCUAGAAAUGCCAUGAUAUUAUGAAUAGUUACUCCCAAUUCCUUCUGGCACAGACGGUUUCGCCCAGCUGGAAGCUCAAACUUUGUUAGUUCAACUUGCUGAAAAGACAACAAGAUCAUAAUAUUUCUUAUGAAGUUCAACACU